CUCUGUGACUCCUACGGGAGGCAGCAUGGGGAAUAUUGCACAAUGGGGGAAACCCUGAUGCAGCCAUGCCGCGUGUGCGUAAGAAAGGCCUUCGGGUUGUAAAGCACUUUCAGUAGGGAGGAAGGUAGUGUAGUUAACACCUGCAUUAUUUGACGUUACCUACAGAAGAAGCACCGGCUAACUCCGUGCCAGCAGCCGCGGUAAUACGGAGGGUGCGAGCGUUAAUCGGAAUUACUGGGCGUAAAGCGCAUGCAGGCGGCCUGUUAAGUCAGAUGUGAAAGCCCGGGGCUUAACCUCGGAAUUGCAUUUGAAACUGGCAGGCUAGAGUCUUGUAGAGGGGGUAGAAUUUCAGGUGUAGCGGUGAAAUGCGUAGAGAUCUGAAGGAAUACCAGUGGCGAAGGCGGCCCCCUGGACAAAGACUGACGCUCAGAUGCGAAAGCGUGGGGAGCAAACAGGAUUAGAUACCCUGGUAG
rnacentral:rRNA from 1 species